AUGAAUCUGGUAUGCUGGAACCAUCGCGGGAUAGGCAAUGCCCCGACAGUUCAAGAGCUACGCGAACUCGCGAUAAAGUUUGCCCCUAGAGUACUUUGCUUAGUGGAAACCCAGAUUAAUGGGGUUAGAGCUAAAAACUUAAAAAGCACUCUAGGUUUUGAUAACUCUUUUCCUGUUGACUCCUCUGUUAGGAGCGGAGGUUUAGUGAUGUACUGGAAUAAUGAAAUAAAGAUGAGAAUUUGGGUUACUCGUAGUAUCACAUAG
rnacentral:rRNA from 1 species